UAGGGAAUUUUCCGCAAUGGGCGCAAGCCUGACGGAGCAACGCCGCGUGAGGGAUGAAGGUUUUCGGAUCGUAAACCUCUGUCUUCAGGGACGAUAAUGACGGUACCUGAGGAGGAAGCCACGGCUAACUACGUGCCAGCAGCCGCGGUAAUACGUAGGUGGCGAGCGUUGUCCGGAAUUACUGGGCGUAAAGGGCGUGUAGGCGGCCUUUUAAGUCAGAUGUGAAAUCUCAGGGCUUAACCCUGAAACUGCAUUUGAAACUGGAGGGCUUGAGGAUCGGAGAGGGCAGUGGAAUUCCCAGUGUAGCGGUGAAAUGCGUAGAUAUUGGGAGGAACACCAGUGGCGAAGGCGACUGCCUGGACGACACCUGACGCUGAGGCGCGAAAGCUAGGGGAGCGAACG
rnacentral:rRNA from 1 species